CACACGAAACGGCAAACCGUUCGAAAGGACGGGACGCAAAGCCACGGGCCUACCGCGCGACAUCGUCCGCCACGGCAGCCGGGUUGCCGAA
rnacentral:ncRNA from 1 species